rnacentral:rRNA from 1 species
CGCAUGGCGCUGGCCUUUCUACUUACACAUGCAGUCGAACGGCAGCACGGGUGCUUGCACCUGGUGGCGAGUGGCGAACGGGUGAGUAAUACAUCGGAACGUGUCCUGUAGUGGGGGAUAGCCCGGCGAAAGCCGGAUUAAUACCGCAUACGAUCUACGGAUGAAAGCGGGGGAUCUUCGGACCUCGCGCUAUAGGGGCGGCCGAUGGCGGAUUAGCUAGUUGGUGAGGUAAAGGCUCACCAAGGCGACGAUCCGUAGCUGGUCUGAGAGGACGACCAGCCACACUGGGACUGAGACACGGCCCAGACUCCUACGGGAGGCAGCAGUGGGGAAUUUUGGACAAUGGGCGAAAGCCUGAUCCAGCAAUGCCGCGUGUGUGAAGAAGGCCUUCGGGUUGUAAAGCACUUUUGUCCGGAAAGAAAUCCCUGGUCCUAAUAUGGCCGGGGGAUGACGGUACCGGAAGAAUAAGCACCGGCUAACUACGUGCCAGCAGCCGCGGUAAUACGUAGGGUGCAAGCGUUAAUCGGAAUUACUGGGCGUAAAGCGUGCGCAGGCGGUGAUGUAAGACCGAUGUGAAAUCCCCGGGCUCAACCUGGGAACUGCAUUGGUGACUGCAUCGCUUGAGUAUGGCAGAGGGGGGGUAGAAUUCCACGUGUAGCAGUGAAAUGCGUAGAGAUGUGGAGGAAUACCGAUGGCGAAGCAGCCCCCUGGGUCAAUACUGACGCUCAUGCACGAAAGCGUGGGGAGCAAACAGGAUUAGAUACCCUGGUAGUCACG